UCCACUUUGUACCAAGAUGAAUGCAUCUUUACUGCUGUUGCUUAUUGUUGCUGUCCCUCUAGCCAGUGGAAGUAAACUUGAAGGAAGAGAUGGAUGUCCUGAGAUUCUUGGAUCUAUUCCAUGUGGUGAAUAUUGCUCAUCUGAUAAUGAUUGCGAGUCUUUUGAGAGGUGCUGCGCCACUGAACGCGGCUUUGCGUGUAUAAAUGUCUGUGGAUUUCAAUCAGGGGGCUAGAGGAUAUUGGGAAAACUGACAUCUUUUGGAUCAAAUGGAGCAUCAAAUAUUAAAAGUCAACUUGUGAAUUUGUUGAAAUAAUUACAUUUGUGAUUCUGAACUGUAAUUUUCUAAAAGAUAAAA